GGAAUUUCCGAAGAUCCGCCUUGGUCGUGGUGAGGUAGCUUGCUUCGGAUCGUUCGCGCUCUCGCGCACUGACCCUGGGAAGGAAUCGGACUCGUCCACACGGGACGUGAGAGGGAAUGUUUCUUUACAUCUAUGUGUGAAAUACUUUGGCAAUGCAUGAUCCGCACCAACAAUUUACCUGCUACGACUACGGGAAAAACUCCUCCUCCGUGGAGAUCUACAAUCAAAAAAAGAAAGGUGAGUCUUUUCAUCAAUUCAACACAACUGAGGUGAGGUAAUUCCCAACUUGUCAAGUCACUGUUGGGCCCAGUGAAUGUGCCAAGAUAAAUGGCACCCAUCGUCCAGCAAAAUGGAAAGAUUCAGGCAUUAAAAAGACUCAGCGUGAUCAGCAUGUUUCCAGCCAUGAGUUUGUUUUAACUAAUACCAUGUCAUAGCAAACCUGUCUCCAAUGCAGCACUUCCAUCUCAACAAAAUCCACUGCCUAAAAGACUAUACCAAAGUCCCAUAAGUAGUUCCAAAAUUGGUAUAACUAGUGUUUUGGAACCCAUGCAAGGCAGAGUACCAAGUGAAAGACUAAUGCACAGUGACAAUGACUCAUUAGAGCUGCAUCUGUGAAUGUAAUUUUUAAAAGGUCAUAGUGUUUAGUCUAAAGAACCUUAGCUUGCCCAGUUUAUCCCAUAAAGUAAUUGUUCUGAAAUAGUUAGUAAAACAAUUUAAAGGUGAAAGGAGGUAGCAGUUUUUUUGCAAGGAAAACCAGUUAGCAAUUAAGUUUGCCCAACUCACAUGCAAAUAUACUGCAGCUUAGUUAUUUAUAUUAGAUUCCUUAACACCCUUAAAAGUUUUAUUCAAGCAACAUAUGUAUGUUACCACGAAAUUAUGCACAGCCAGCCU